rnacentral:rRNA from 1 species
UACGGAAGGGGGCUAGCGUUGCUCGGAAUCACUGGGCGUAAAGCGCACGUAGGCGGAUUGUUAAGUCAGGGGUGAAAUCCUGGAGCUCAACUCCAGAACUGCCUUUGAUACUGAGAGCUUGAGUCCGGGAGAGGUGAGUGGAACUGCGAGUGUAGAGGUGAAAUUCGUAGAUAUUCGCAAGAACACCAGUGGCGAAGGCGGCUCACUGGCCCGGUACUGACGCUGAGUGCGAAAGCGUGGGGAGCAAACAGG